GGAGAUAUAGCUCAGUAGUAGAGUGCACGCUUUUCAUGUGUGAGGUCCCGGGUUCAAUCCCCGGCAUCUCCA